rnacentral:rRNA from 1 species
UACGGGGGGGGGCAAGCGUUGUUCGGAAUUACUGGGCGUAAAGGGCUCGUAGGUGGCCAACUAAGUCAGACGUGAAAUCCCUCAGCUUAACUGGGGAACUGCGUCUGAUACUGGAUGGCUUGGAUUCGGGAGAGGAAUGCGGAAUUCCAGGUGUAGCGGUGAAAUGCGUAGAUAUCUGGAGGAACACCGGUGGCGAAGGCGGCAUUCUGGACCGAUAUUGACGCUGAGGAGCGAAAGCCAGGGGAGCAAACGGG